AAUAAUGCAAUAAAACCCAGCUUCUAAGGCACACAAAGGCUUUUGGAAAGCAAGAGAUAAAAGGGACUUUGUUCUGCUCCCGCUGGGAACAGUAUAGAUCUACAGGUGUUCCCACAGACACCGGUCCCUUGGUGGAGGCUGUUGCUGGUCUCUGCUCCCCACAUCUUGCUGCUGCCUGGGAGCCAUGGAAGGCUUAGAAUGGAAACAGCCCGCAGAAGGCAUGCUUUAAGAAGCACACAAUGACAAGAGCAGGCUCGAGAGCCAGAUAUCUACCCAAACAGAUGCACAAGUCACAGCACAGAAACACACACACACAAAAGGAAAACAACGGGUCUCAUUCAAAAGAGCAUCACUCUUCAGUUAUUGAACCCAAAGAUACUAAGAGGGAUUAAAAAUGCCAGAUGAAGAAUGCCAAAGUGGACUUGGGGAAAUGAACAGCAACUCAAAGAGGAUGCAAGCAAGUAAAUGAAUAAAAUAAGGAAAUAAAUUAAAGACCUGGAAAGGAAAACCAACUACAUAGACGACAAAGCCCGAAAAGAACAAGAUUUUUGAAAAACAAACAAAGAAAGAGAAAUGUGGGAAAUAAAAGACAAAUGAAAUAACCAGUGACAGUUGUCAAUCACCGAGAGACUGGACCACGCCCAGAAAUCCCAGCGCUGAAAGACAAGGUCAAGAUAAAUACUUCAUCUAUAAACUGACAGAGAAGUAAGCUUUGCCAUAGACACCCAAGAUCUUGGAGACAAUCAAGAGUUACCUAGUACAUUAUAGUAUGAUAACAAAAAUCACAAAACAAAGAACCAGAAUUAAAAGGUAAAAAGGGAAAAUGAUAACUCAACUGUCAGGAAAAAUUUGACAGGUUAAUGAAAAGAGAACAAUGAUACUUGUGAGUUAGACAUCAGACAUCUCAGCGGCAACCAUAAGAGGCAGCAAAGCGUAGACCAGUGUUUCAAAUCAAUAAAUGCCAACCCAGUGUAAAUGAUAUUAGUUUUCUAAUUAAAAGAUGUAUACCUGGUUCACGUUGAAUGUAUAUUUAAAAACUUAUUGUUUGGUUGAGAAAUGCCCUCCACAGUCUUGGACAUUUGAAUACUUGAU
rnacentral:lncRNA from 1 species